rnacentral:rRNA from 1 species
CAAGUCGAACGCGAAAGGGGCUUCGGCCCUGAGUAGAGUGGCGAACGGGUGAGUAACACGUGGGUGACCUACCUUCGAAUGGGGGAUAACGUCCCGAAAGGGACGCUAAUACCGCAUAACAUCCUGUCUUUGAAGAGAUGGAGAUCAAAGCUGGGGAUCGCAAGACCUGGCGUUUGAAGAGGGGCCCGCGUCCGAUUAGCUAGUUGGUGAGGUAACGGCUCACCAAGGCAACGAUCGGUAGCCGGCCUGAGAGGGCGGACGGCCACACUGGGACUGAGACACGGCCCAGACUCCUACGGGAGGCAGCAGUGGGGAAUUGUUCGCAAUGGGCGCAAGCCUGACGACGCAACGCCGCGUGGAGGAUGAAGGUCUUCGGAUUGUAAACUCCUGUUGCCCGGAACGAAAUGCUUCGACCUAACACGUCGAAGUUUGACGGUACCGGGUGAGGAAGCCCCGGCUAACUCUGUGCCAGCAGCCGCGGUAAUACAGAGGGGGCAAGCGUUGUUCGGAAUUACUGGGCGUAAAGGGCGCGUAGGCGGCCUUCUAAGUCGAACGUGAAAUCCCCGGGCUCAACCCGGGAACUGCGUCCGAUACUGGAAGGCUUGAAUCCGGGAGAGGGAUGCGGAAUUCCAGGUGUAGCGGUGAAAUGCGUAGAUAUCUGGAGGAACACCGGUGGCGAAGGCGGCAUCCUGGACCGGCAUUGACGCUGAGGCGCGAAAGCCAGGGGAGCAAACGGGAUUAGAUACCCCGGUAGUCCUGGCCCUAAACGAUGAAUGCUUGGUGUGGCGGGUAUCGAUCCCUGCCGUGCCGAAGCUAACGCAUUAAGCAUUCCGCCUGGGGAAUUACGGUCGCAAGGCUGAAAACUCAAAGGAA